CGCCAGUCCGAGGCUCCGGCACCCACCGGGGCCUGGUGCAAGAAGGA
rfam:Streptomyces albulus strain NK660, complete genome.